rnacentral:rRNA from 1 species
UGGGAAUAUUGCACAAUGGGCGAAAGCCUGAUGCAGCAACGCCGCGUGAGCGAAGAAGGUCUUCGGAUCGUAAAGCUCUGUCCUUGGGGAAGAUAAUGACGGUACCCUUGGAGGAAGCCCCGGCUAACUACGUGCCAGCAGCCGCGGUAAUACGUAGGGGGCAAGCGUUGUCCGGAAUGAUUGGGCGUAAAGGGCGCGUAGGCGGCCCGUUAAGUCUGGAGUGAAAGUCCUGCUUUCAAGGUGGGAAUUGCUUUGGAUACUGGCGGGCUUGAGUGCAGGAGAGGUAAGUGGAAUUCCCAGUGUAGCGGUGAAAUGCGUAGAGAUUGGGAGGAACACCAGUGGCGAAGGCGACUUACUGGACUGUAACUGACGCUGAGGCGCGAAAGUGUGGGGAGCAAACAGGAUUAGAUACCCUGGUAGU